rnacentral:lncRNA from 1 species
GUCAUGACGGUGUCCUUCCACAAAUACGGAAAUUACUUCUUCCCUGGCACAGGUGACAUGUAUGAAGUCGGGGCAGAGAGUGGCCGCUACUACUGUCUGAACGUGCCCCUGCGGGAUGGCAUUGAUGACCAGAGUUACAAGCACCUUUUCCAGCCGGUUAUCAACCAGGUAGUGGACUUCUACCAACCCACGUGCAUUGUGCUCCAGGUAAUACUGUCAGUUCCUCCUCAGGAGUGUUCUGCCUGGGCUUGGGGAAAGAGAGCAAGGGAAGAGGAGGUUCUUUAGGUUGGUGGUGGAAGGGGUAUCUGUGAUGUUCUGAUCAGUUCUGAUCACUGCACUUUCCUGGGGUUUUGCUUUUUGCAGUGUGGAGCUGACUCUCUGGGCUGUGAUCGAUUGGGCUGCUUUAACCUCAGCAUCCGAGG